GUAGAGUUUUGUAGUCCUCGGGCUCAGGAUGAACGCUGGCGGCGUGCUUAACACAUGCAAGUCGAGCGAAGCACUCGGCCUUGAAUCUUCGGAGGAAAGGCGGUUUGACGUGAGCGGCGGACGGGUGAGUAACGCGUGGGCAACCUGCCCAUACGGGGGAGUAACAGUUAGAAAUGACUGCUAAUACCGCACUAAGACCGCGGUGCCGCAUGGCACAGCGGUAAAAACUCCGGUGGUAUGGGAUGGGCCCGCGUCUGAUUAGCUAGUUGCGGGGUAACGGCCCACCAAGGCGACGAUCAGUAGCCGACCUGAGAGGGCGACCGGCCACAUUGGGACUGAGACACGGCCCAAACUCCUACGGGAGGCAGCAGUGGGGAAUAUUGCACAAUGGGGGAAACCCUGAUGCAGCGACGCCGCGUGGGCGAUGAAGUAUUUCGGUAUGUAAAGCUCUAUCAGCAGGGAAGAAGAUGACGGUACCUGACUAAGAAGCCCCGGCUAACUACGUG
rnacentral:rRNA from 1 species